rnacentral:rRNA from 1 species
AUUGAACGCUGGCGGCAGGCCUAACACAUGCAAGUCGAGCGGAUGAAGGGAGCUUGCUCCUGGAUUCAGCGGCGGACGGGUGAGUAAUGCCUAGGAAUCUGCCUGGUAGUGGGGGAUAACGUCCGGAAACGGGCGCUAAUACCGCAUACGUCCUGAGGGAGAAAGUGGGGGAUCUUCGGACCUCACGCUAUCAGAUGAGCCUAGGUCGGAUUAGCUAGUUGGUGGGGUAAAGGCCUACCAAGGCGACGAUCCGUAACUGGUCUGAGAGGAUGAUCAGUCACACUGGAAAUGAGCCACGGUCCAGACUCCUACGGGAGGGAGCAGUGGGGAAUAUUGGACAAUGGGCGAAAGCCUGAUCCAGCCAUGCCGCGUGUGUGAAGAAGGUCUUCGGAUUGUAAAGCACUUUAAGUUGGGAGGAAGGGCAGUAAGUUAAUACCUUGCUGUUUUGACGUUACCAACAGAAUAAGCACCGGCUAACUUCGUG